rnacentral:rRNA from 1 species
GUCCACGCCGUAAACGAUGUGCACUAGACUGGUGCGGUUUUGACGCCGUAUCAGUCGCAGUAAAACGAUAAGUGCACCGCCUGGGGAGUACGGUCGCAAGGCUAAAACUCAAAUGAAUUGACGGGGGCUCACACAAGCGGUGGAGCAUGUUGCUUAAUUCGAGGCAACGCGAAGAACCUUACCUGGGCUUGACAUGUACGUAUUAACUCCUUGAAAGAGGAGCCACAGUCGCAAGACCGGAACGUGCACAGGUGCUGCAUGGCUGUCGU